UACGUAGGGUCCGAGCGUUAUCCGGAAUUAUUGGGCGUAAAGAGCUCGUAGGCGGUUUGUCGCGUCUGCCGUGAAAGUCCGGGGCUCAACUCCGGAUCUGCGGUGGGUACGGGCAGACUAGAGUGAUGUAGGGGAGACUGGAAUUCCUGGUGUAGCGGUGAAAUGCGCAGAUAUCAGGAGGAACACCGAUGGCGAAGGCAGAUCUCUGGGCCGUAACUGACGCUGAGGAGCGAAAGCAUGGGGGAGCGAACAGG
rnacentral:rRNA from 1 species